UGUAGCAUAUUUAAACACAAUUCAAAUUGUGCAUAGAAUUAUUUCCAUUGGUCAUUCUCAGUGGCGGCUGGCGAUCAAACAUGUUGGUGGGGCACAGUAAUAGACAGGGGGUCUGAGGUUCUCCCCCCCCCCCCCCCCCCAUCAUUUUUUUGGAAUUUAAUAGAUUUGAUUUCCUGUAUUCUACCACUACCUAUUUACCUGCUUUUCAUUCAGAUUCAUAGCCUACAUCCUGACUUGCAGGGCCUGGACAAGCUUACACUGCUUAUACAGACCUACUUCAUGGCCAUUCCACCAGCAAUUGCUAUUUGACCCAUUGUUGUUAUUCUGAUAUUGAGACAAAUCAUGAUCACUGUCCUAUAGCGUCCAUUUUUUGUGAGUCUCAAUGUCUACUUCAAAUGAAGUUAGAAAUAUGGGACAGUUGCUUCAUUUUGUUUAUAUGCUACAGGCCGAAAGACUAAAUUAAUAUGUAACUUACUUGCUCCUUUUAAGUAUAACAUUGCUUGGGGAGUCCAAUUCCUCCACUGAAAAGGGUGGAAAGUGCUUAAAACUCUCUGCUAGUUAGCGAUCUAUGACACUGUUGUUUUUUAUUGGUCGUCAUGAAAAAAAACAUAAGGGGUAACACUGUCGAUAUUUAUCAAAUAAAACAUAGGGGGUAA